rnacentral:lncRNA from 1 species
GAGGCCUGUCUGUUCCAGACUAACACACACGUGGGGAUUCAUUUUGCCUGGGCCAGCGUGGAGACACAACAGGUGGGCUUCACUUCUGCCAUUACUGCUGGACCCAGGAGCCUCUGGAUCCAAGCACUCAAUGGAGGACCACAGAGUCCACAAGACAAGGCUCAGCUAUGGUUGGUGGACAUUUCUUUUGAGACCCAGAUUGAGACUUUGAGCUCAGCCGGAUCAUGGUGGCAUACCCAGGCUGUUCCAGCCCCCGGUGGCUUCCAGUCCUUCUCAAGCUCUGCGAGAAAGCCAGACCCGAGAAAGCCAGACCUUGGUUUCUUCCGGCUGUAGUGAGGGGACCAGCAUGGCCCUCAGGAUCCCAGGUACCCAAGGAAAGGAUGGCCGGGCUGACCAGGAAGCAGCACAAGGCAUAUUCUCAGACUUGAAGUAGCUGCCUGCUGAUAAAGGAGAUUAAGUCUUCCUCCCAGUCCCAGUGAAGUCGCACUCUCAUUUCGUAUUCAGCUUCAGAAUCACCAGUUGUAGAAGACUUUGCUCCAUCUUCUUUGCCAAGUCUUUGCUGUUGAAAGGUACUGCUUACAAUACCAUCAACUACAUCUCAAUGUAUGUUUGAUUAUACCAUAUAUCUUUCCUCUUUGUAUUACAAACAGGCUCCAUAUGUAAUAGAUAAUGAUAAAAUAAAUAAAUGAAAUGAAAUAAAAAUUUUAAAAAAAUAAA